GCCGGCGAGCGGCGGACGGGUGAGUAAUGCCUAGGAAUCUGCCUGGUAGUGGGGGAUAACUCGGGGAAACUCGAGCUAAUACCGCAUACGUCCUACGGGAGAAAGCGGGGGAUCUUCGGACCUCGCGCUACCAGAUGAGCCUAGGUCGGAUUAGCUAGUUGGUGAGGUAAAGGCUCACCAAGGCGACGAUCCGUAGCUGGUCUGAGAGGAUGAUCAGCCACACUGGAACUGAGACACGGUCCAGACUCCUACGGGAGGCAGCAGUGGGGAAUAUUGGACAAUGGGCGAAAGCCUGAUCCAGCCAUGCCGCGUGUGUGAAGAAGGUCUUCGGAUUGUAAAGCACUUUAAGUUGGGAGGAAGGGCAGUAAGCUAAUACCUUGCUGUUUUGACGUUACCGACAGAAUAAGCACCGGCUAACUUCGUGCCAGCAGCCGCGGUAAUACGAAGGGUGCAAGCGUUAAUCGGAAUUACUGGGCGUAAAGCGCGCGUAGGUGGUUUGAUAAGUUGGAUGUGAAAGCCCCGGGCUCAACCUGGGAAUUGCAUCCAAAACUGUCUGACUAGAGUAUGGCAGAGGGUGGUGGAAUUUCCUGUGUAGCGGUGAAAUGCGUAGAUAUAGGAAGGAACACCAGUGGCGAAGGCGACCACCUGGGCUAAUACUGACACUGAGGUGCGAAAGCAUGGGGAGCAAACAGGAUUAGAUACCCUGGUAGUCCACGCCGUAAACGAUGUCGACUAGCCGUUGGGAUCCUUGAGAUCUUAGUGGCGCAGCUAACGCAUUAAGUCGACCGCCUGGGGAGUACG
rnacentral:rRNA from 1 species